GCCAUGGCGGGCAAUCAUCCCCGCUGUGGAGGGCUGUCGGGUUCCAGACCUACAAUUGUUGUUUUAUUAGUUGGGAAACGUGGAGUACCAGUGGAACUACAAAGUGUGAAGCCAGAAGUGGAAACAGGAUUUGGAAUAUUUGGGUUACGACCGACAUCGGCGCAAAUACUGAUUAAUUGUAAAAUCGAAUCUUUAUCGAAGAAACUGGCAGCCUGUAGGAAACUGACUGUGGCUGUUGAAUUGACAGGUGGCUCCCACAAUAUAGCUGACAGAAGAAAGCAACAUCAAAUCCUAUCUCUAAUUUUGCUAGAGAUGACUUUUCAACGUUGAGAAAGAAGAAGAAUCUGAACCCAAAGUAGAGCCAGAAGAACUUCUAAUACUAGUUUGCCAGCAGCCAUCGGAACGUAUACGCGCUCCAAGACGGCAUUAUUAUGGCAUGCCCUUGUUGGCUUGGUUCUGGUGGAGUCAUCACGGCAGUGGUACACCCACCAAAUCAAAAUCUCCUUACCAACCGACGUCAUUCUCAAGUGGAUAUGCAAGGCCGGCAGCUGACGUAUGUAAACCAGUACACGAGCAAUCCCCUUGCGGUCAGUAAGAACUGGACGUCAGACGAGAGACACUGUUAAUGUAACUUGUCGCUCAAGUUCUCCGUCAUCAAACCUUCAUCACUUACAUUACAUGUGACUUGGUGGCCCAGAUUUAGAAACACCAAGGCGUAUGAAAUUCAUCUCAACGGUCAAUUGAGUUGGACCGUAUCACGAAGUGAAGCAUCUAACCCGAUUUCAUUCAAGAUUUCCAUCACGGCCCCAAGAAUAACUCGCUUGGUGCUUGGAUCUACCCAUUGGAGAGGACUCAACUGUGGCUCACUUAACUGUUGCUGUUGAGCUGUUCCUUGGUGAUGGUUACGACGUGUAACGGCAGAUGCAUCCAGUAGGCUAUUUUGGUUAAUUGUCUUUGUGUCCAUGCAGUUAACCAUUUUUAUUUGAAGAAGAAACAAACAGAAAAAUUGGGAGUGUUUAUGUCCAACAAAUAAUCAACAUUUCUUUGCGAUUGGGAAAGUAACAAGAGGAAGUUGGGGAGAGGGAGAACUGACUUCCAUUUUUCUAAAGAUUUUGAUGUUUAUUGUUAAUGAAAACCGAUGCGGUGGGUAACUAAGGAUAAAAGCUUUAUUAACGGAAACUUGGGCAUUGAUCUUGGAUGUUGAAACCGGUGAGGGAAGUCUUCCCCGAAUGCCUAAACACAAAAUAGUAGGAACGCCUAAAUUGUCGCAACCCAUUGUCAUAGGAAUGAAGAUGGCUUGGAACUUGAGGUUUCUGCUAAGGAUUAACACAAAUAAAUCUGCUGCUAGUAC